CCGUGAAAGUCCGAGGCUCAACCUCGGAUCUGCGGUGGGUACGGGCAGACUAGAGUGAUGUAGGGGAGACUGGAAUUCCUGGUGUAGCGGUGAAAUGCGCAGAUAUCAGGAGGAACACCGAUGGCGAAGGCAGGUCUCUGGGCAUUUACUGACGCUGAGGAGCGAAAGCAUGGGGAGCGAACAGGAUUAGAUACCCUGGUAGUCCAUGCCGUAAACGUUGGGCACUAGGUGUGGGGGACAUUCCACGUUUUCCGCGCCGUAGCUAACGCAUUAAGUGCCCCGCCUGGGGAGUACGGCCGCAAGGCUAAAACUCAAAGGAAUUGACGGGGGCCCGCACAAGCGGCGGAGCAUGCGGAUUAAUUCGAUGCAACGCGAAGAACCUUACCAAGGCUUGACAUGUGCCAGACCGCUCCAGAGAUGGGGUUUCCCUUCGGGGCUGGUUCACAGGUGGUGCAUGGUUGUCGUCAGCUCGUGUCGUGAGAUGUUGGGUUAAGUCCCGCAACGAGCGCAACCCUCGUUCCAUGUUGCCAGCACGUAGUGGUGGGGACUCAUGGGAGACUGCCGGGGUCAACUCGGAGGAAGGUGGGGAUGACGUCAAAUCAUCAUGCCCCUUAUGUCUUGGGCUUCACGCAUGCUACAAUGGCCGGUACAAUGGGUUGCGAUACUGUGAGGUGGAGCUAAUCCCUAAAAGCCGGUCUCAGUUCGGAUUGGGGUCUGCAACUCGACCCCAUGAAGUCGGAGUCGCUAGUAAUCGCAGAUCAGCAACGCUGCGGUGAAUACGUUCCCGGGCCUUGUACACACCGCCCGUCAAGUCACGAAAGUUGGUAACACCCGAUAGCCGAUGGCCUUAACCACCUUGUGUGGGGGGAGUCGUU
rnacentral:rRNA from 1 species